AUGAACGCUGGCGGCGUGCCUCAUACAUGCCAGUCGAGCGAACAGACGAGGAGCUUGCUCCUCUGACGUUAGCGGCGGACGGGUGAGUAACACGUGGAUAACCUACCUAUAAGACUGGGAUAACUUCGGGAAACCGGAGCUAAUACCGGAUAAUAUAUUGAACCGCAUGGUUCAAUAGUGAAAGACGGUUUUGCUGUCACUUAUAGAUGGAUCCGCGCCGCAUUAGCUAGUUGGUAAGGUAACGGCUUACCAAGGCGACGAUGCGUAGCCGACCUGAGAGGGUGAUCGGCCACACUGGAACUGAGACACGGUCCAGACUCCUACGGGAGGCAGCAGUAGGGAAUCUUCCGCAAUGGGCGAAAGCCUGACGGAGCAACGCCGCGUGAGUGAUGAAGGUCUUCGGAUCGUAAAACUCUGUUAUUAGGGAAGAACAAAUGUGUAAGUAACUAUGCACGUCUUGACGGUACCUAAUCAGAAAGCCACGGCUAACUACGUG
rnacentral:rRNA from 1 species